rnacentral:tRNA from 1 species
GCGGCGGUGGCCGGGGCACCGGUCGUCCCGCCCCGCAGCGCGGUGGCCGGGGCGGUCAGUUCCGCAACGGGCCCCGGAUCGCUCCGGGCCGCCGCUCCA